rnacentral:rRNA from 1 species
AUUGAACGCUGGCGGCAUGCCUUACACAUGCAAGUCGAACGGCAGCACGGGUGCUUGCACCUGGUGGCGAGUGGCGAACGGGUGAGUAAUACAUCGGAACAUGUCCUGUAGUGGGGGAUAGCCCGGCGAAAGCCGGAUUAAUACCGCAUACGAUCUACGGAUGAAAGCGGGGGACCUUCGGGCCUCGCGCUAUAGGGUUGGCCGAUAGCUGAUUAGCUAGUUGGUGGGGUAAAGGCCUACCAAGGCGACGAUCAGUAGCUGGUCUGAGAGGACGACCAGCACAACUGGACCUGGGCACGGGCCCAACCCCCAAGGGAGGGCGCCGGGGGGAAUUUUGGGCAAUGGGGCGAAGCCCUAUUCCGCAAAGGCGGGGGGUGUGAGAAAGCCCUCGGGGUGGAAAGCCCUUUUGUCCGGAAAGAAAUCCUUGGCUCUAAUACAGUCGGGGGAUGACGGUACCGGAAGAAUAAGCACCGGCUAACUACGUG